rnacentral:misc_RNA from 1 species
GAAAUGCGAUAAGUAAUGUGAAUUGCAGAAUUCAGUGAAUCAUCGAAUCUUUGAACGCACCUUGCGCUCCUUGGUAUUCCUUGGAGCAUGCCUGUUUGAGUAUCAUGAAAUCUUCAAAGUAAAUCUUUUGUUAACUCAAUUGGUUUCUACUUUGGUAUUGGAGGUCUUUGCAGCUUCACACCUGCUCCUCUUUGUUCAUUAGCUGGAUCUCAGUGUUAUGCUUGGUUCCACUCGGCGUGAUAAGUUAUCUAUCGCUGAGGACACUGUAAAAGGUGGCCAAGGUAAAUGCAGAUGAACCGCUUCUAAUAGUCCAUUGACUUGGACAAUACUUUUAUGAUCUGAUCUCAAUCAGGUAGGACUACCCGCUGAACUUAAGC